rnacentral:rRNA from 1 species
UAAUACGGAGGGUCCGAGCGUUAUCCGGAAUCAUUGGGUUUAAAGGGUCCGUAGGCGGGCAAUUAAGUCAGUGGUGAAAGUCUGCAGCUCAACUGUAGAAUUGCCAUUGAUACUGGUUGUCUUGAAUCGUUGUGAAGUGGCUAGAAUAUGUGGUGUAGCGGUGAAAUGCUUAGAUAUCACAUAGAAUACCGAUUGCGAAGGCAGGUCACUAACAACGUAUUGACGCUGAUGGACGAAAGCGUGGGGAGCGAACAGG